GCGGGGUGGAGCAGUUGGCAGCUCGUCGGGCUCAUAACCCGAAGGUCACAGGUUCAAGUCCCUUCACCCGCACCA
rnacentral:tRNA from 1 species